rnacentral:rRNA from 1 species
CGUAGCGAAAGCGAGUCCGAUAAGGGCGUGAGUCGCGUGUUCUAGACCCGAAGCGGUGUGAUCUAUCCAUGGCCAGGAUGAAGGUACCGUAACAGGUGCUGGAGGUCCGAACCGACUAGUGUUGCAAAACUAGCGGAUGAGCUGUGGAUAGGGGUGAAAGGCUAAACAAACUUGGAAAUAGCUGGUUCUCUCCGAAAACUAUUUAGGUAGUGCCUCAAGUAUCACCAUCGGGGGUAGAGCACUGUUAUGGCUAGGGGGUCAUUGCGACUUACCAAACCAUUGCAAACUCCGAAUACCGAUGAGUGCGAGCUUGGGAGACAGACAUCGGGUGCUAACGUCCGGUGUCAAGAGGGAAACAACCCAGACCGCCAGCUAAGGUCCCUAAAAUUGGCUAAGUGGGAAACGAAGUGGGAAGGCUAAAACAGUCAGGAUGUUGGCUUAGAAGCAGCCAUCAUUUAAAGAAAGCGUAAUAGCUCACUGAUCGAGUCGUCCUGCGCGGAAGAUGUAACGGGGCUAAGCCAGUCACCGAAGCUGCGGAUAUCCGUAAGGAUAUGGUAGGAGAGCGUUCUGUAAGCCUGUGAAGGUGGGUUGUGAAGCCUGCUGGAGGUAUCAGAAGUGCGAAUGCUGACAUGAGUAGCGAUAAUGCGGGUGAAAAGCCCGCACGCCGUAAGCCCAAGGUUUCCUGUUCAACGUUCAUCGGAGCAGGGUGAGUCGGCCCCUAAGGCGAGGCAGAGAUGC